AGAAGUUUUUGACCGCCCGAUCAAAUUACCGGUGGAGCGACAGUGUUCUUUUUGGCCGCUGGCGUCUGCCCAGCCGUCGGUUUGUUUUCAUGUCCUUGGCCGCUUCAGCAGAGGAUGACGGGUGGGGUCGUGAGACCAUGGGGGCCAGCGACCAGAGGUUGGGUUUCUCUCGGUACUACGUGAAGGUUGACAGAGGGUGGGCUGUUUCUGAUUGGCUAAGGGCGAAGCAUGCGAACCCUAGCCCCAAUCCACAACCCCCACGCCGCUCCCUCCUCCCUCCCUCAGCCGCCUCCAUGCUCCCUCCCACCUUCUCCUCCUCCUCCUUCUCCGCCUAGGAGCCUCGCCGCCGACGGCUACUCCUCCACCGCCUCGCCUCUUCCUCCUUCUCGCCUUCCCAUCGCUCGCGCGCAGGUCACCCGACGGCAGGGGUGGUCAUGAAGGCUUCCCAGACUGACGGAGGAGCACGCCGCCGCCGCACGCCGCCCGUCCCGACGCGCGUCCGCAUCCGCCCCGACGCAGCCUGGCCGAUCUUUCUCGGGAGGCAGCGAGAGUUGCAGGCGCCGCGGUUGGCGUGCACGCGCUGCUCAACUGGGUCGUCGUGGCCAGGCUCUGCCGCGGCCUCCUGGGCGCGGCCAUGGUCGGCAACGCCUCCUGGUGACUCAUCAACGCGGCUCAGUUUGUGUACGUCGUCGGCGGCUCCUUCCCGGAGGCGUGGACGGGGUUCUCGCGCAAGGCGUUCGCCAGCCUCGGCGGCUUCAUCAGGCUCUGCCUCACGUCGGCAGUUAUGCUCUGCUUAGAGAUGUGGUACUACACGGCAGUAAUUGAUGGCACGGCCGAGCAAGAGGAUUCCGGUGCUGUGCACGCACCUGAUCGGGUGGUCGUCAUUUUCUCCGCCUUGGGCAGCACCAGUUGAGCUAUAGGUUGUCAGAUCUGUUGUAUGAGGCAAUAAUGAAUAAGAACAAUAUCAGCCUUUUAAUGUGCAGGUUUAUGACUGCAUUACGGAUCUUGGUGGCUGCCUGUACAUGUCAUUUCUGUAGUUCGAUUAUGCAUUACCUGCAAUUAGUCAAGUGAUUAGUUAUUACCUGUAGUAUCUGGACCUUAUUUGGUUUGGUCAACUUAGUCAUUCAUCAUCCAUUUUUCUAAAUUUAUUGGUAUUUUUAAUAUGUCAUUUGUGUCAGCA